rnacentral:misc_RNA from 1 species
GAUGAAAACGCAGCGAAAUGCGAUACGUAAUGUGAAUUGCAGAAUUCAGUGAAUCAUCGAAUCUUUGAACGCACAUUGCGCCCGCCAGUAUUCUGGCGGGCAUGCCUGUCUGAGCGUCAUUUCAACCCUCAUGCCCCUAGGGCGUGGUGUUGGGGAUCGGCCAAAGCCCGCGAGGGACGGCCGGCCCCUAAAUCUAGUGGCGGACCCGUCGUGGCCUCCUCUGCGAAGUAGUGAUAUUCCGCAUCGGAGAGCGAUGAGCCCCUGCCGUUAAACCCCCAACUUUCCAAGGUUGACCUCAGAUCAGGUAGGAAUACCCGCUGAACUUAAGCAUAUCAAUAAGCGGAGGA